rnacentral:rRNA from 1 species
GGCGGGAUAAUAGCCCACCAAGGCUCCGAUGGGUAGCCGAGCUGAGAGGUUGAUCGGCCACACUGGGACUGAGACACGGCCCAGACACCUACGGGUGGCAGCAGUAGGGAAUAUUGGACAAUGGGCGCAAGCCUGAUCCAGCCAUGCCGCGUGGAUGAUGAAGGCCUUCGGGUCGUAAAAUCCUUUUCUGAGAGAAGAACAUCCGGGGCAGGAAAUGGCCCCGGCUUGACGGUAUCUCAGGAAUAAGCAACGGCCAACUCCGUGCCAGCAGCCGCGGUAAUACGGAGGUUGCAAGCGUUGUUCGGAAUUACUGGGCGUAAAGGGAGCGCAGGCGGCUUGGCCAGUCUGAAGUGAAAGCCCGGGGCUCAACUCCGGAAGUGCUUUGGAUACUACCAAGCUUGAGUACGUGAGAGGAGAGCGGAAUUCCAGGUGUAGCGGUGAAAUGCGUAGAUAUCUGGAGGAACACCGGUGGCGAAAGCGGCUCUCUGGCACGAUACUGACGCUCAGGCUCGAAAGCGUGGGGAGCAAACGGGAUUAGAUACCCCGGUAGUCCACGCCGUAAACGAUGCAGACUAGAUCGCGGAGGCUCUGACGCCCCCGUGGUCGAAGCUAAAGUGCUAAGUCUGCCGCCUGGGGAGUACGGUCGCAAGGCUAAAACUCAAAGGAAUUGACGG